ACGCUGGCGGCGUGCUUAACACAUGCAAGUCGAACGAGGUCCACGCGUAGCAAUACAAGGGAAGACCUAGUGGCGAACGGGUGCGUAACACGUGAGGGAACUUGUCCCGGUCUCUGGGAUAACAGUUGGAAACAACUGCUAAUACCGGAUGACGUCGGAAUCUCGCAUGGGAUACUGACGAAAGGGUUACUGGAUCGGGAGAGCCUCGCGGCCUAUCAGCUUGUUGGUGAGGUAACGGCUCACCAAGGCAUCGACGGGUAGCUGGUCUGAGAGGAUGAUCAGCCACACUGGGACUGAGACACGGCCCAGACUCCUACGGGAGGCAGCAGUGGGGGAAUCUUGCGCAAUGGGCGAAAGCCUGACGCAGCAACGCCGCGUGCGGGAAGAAGGCCCUCGGGUUGUAAACCGCUUUCAGAAGGAACGAAAAUGACGGUACUUUCAGAAGAAGGUGCGGCCAACUACGUG
rnacentral:rRNA from 1 species